AGUGAAGAACCACAGCUUGUCUUCAGCUCCAUCCAGUCCUCUGACUCUGGAGAGUAUUACUGUGCAGCUGAGAACCAGCUGGGGAGGAGGACAUCUGAAUACAUCAUUAAUGUGAAAUAUGCUCCAAAGCUUCCCUCUGUGUCAGUGAGUCCCUCUGCUGAGAUAGUGGAGGGCAGUUCAGUGACUCUGACCUGCAGCAGUGAUGCUAACCCAGCAGCUAAAUACACCUGGUACAAGGAGAACCAAACUCUGCUCAGUGAAGAACCACAGCUUGUCUUCAGCUCCAUCCAGUCCUCUGACUCUGGAGAGUAUUACUGUGCAGCUGAGAACCAGCUGGGGAGGAGGACAUCUGAAUACAUCAUUAAUGUGAAAUAUGCUCCAAAGCUUCCCUCUGUGUCAGUGAGUCCCUCUGCUGAGAUAG